rnacentral:rRNA from 1 species
UACGGAGGACGCGAGCGUUAAUCGGAAUUACUGGGCGUAAAGCGCGCGUAGGCUGUUGUGUAAGUUGGGGGUGAAAUCCCACGGCUCAACCGUGGAACAGCCCUUGAUACUGCGCGACUUGAAUCCGGGAGAGGGUGGCGGAAUUCCAGGUGUAGGAGUGAAAUCCGUAGAUAUCUGGAGGAACAUCAGUGGCGAAGGCGGCCACCUGGACCGGUAUUGACGCUGAGGCGCGAAAGCGUGGGGAGCAAACAGG